rnacentral:rRNA from 1 species
UUAUCGGAGAGUUUGAUCCUGGCUCAGGACGAACGCUGGCGGCGUGCCUAAUACAUGCAAGUCGAGCGGACAGAUGGGAGCUUGCUCCCUGAUGUUAGCGGCGGACGGGGGAGUAACACGUGGGUAACCUGCCUGUAAGACUGGGAUA